rnacentral:rRNA from 1 species
GGAUGAACGCUGGCGGCGUGCCUAAUACAUGCAAGUCGAGCGAACGGACGAGAAGCUUGCUUUUCUGAUGUUAGCGGCGGACGGGUGAGUAACACGUGGAUAACCUACCUAUAAGACUGGGAUAACUUCGGGAAACCGGAGCUAAUACCGGAUAAUAUUUUGAACCGCAUGGUUCAAAAGUGAAAGACGGUCUUGCUGUCACUUAUAGAUGGAUCCGCGCUGCAUUAGCUAGUUGGUAAGGUAACGGCUUACCAAGGCAACGAUGCAUAGCCGACCUGAGAGGGUGAUCGGCCACACUGGAACUGAGACACGGUCCAGACUCCUACGGGAGGCAGCUGUAGGGAAUCUUCCGCAAUGGGCGAAAGCCUGACGGAGCAACGCCGCGUGAGUGAUGAAGGUCUUCGGAUCGUAAAACUCUGUUAUUAGGGAAGAACAUAUGUGUAAGUAACUGUGCACAUCUUGACGGUACCUAAUCAGAAAGCCACGGCUAACUACGUG